GAUGAACGCUGGCGGCGUGCCUAAUACAUGCAAGUCGAGCGAACAGAUGAGGAGCUUGCUCCUCUGACGUUAGCGGCGGACGGGUGAGUAACACGUGGAUAACCUACCUAUAAGACUGGGAUAACUUCGGGAAACCGGAGCUAAUACCGGAUAAUAUAUUGAACCGCAUGGUUCAAUAGUGAAAGACGGUUUUGCUGUCCCUUAUAGAUAGAUCCGCGCCGCAUUAGCUAGUUGGUAAGGUAACGGCUUACCAAGGCAACGAUGCGUAGCCGACCUGAGAGGGGGAUCGGCCACACUGGAACUGAGACACGGUCCAGACUCCUACGGGAGGCAGCAGAAGGGAAUCUUCCGCAAUGGGCGAAAGCCUGACGGAGCAACGCCGCGUGAGUGAUGAAGGUCUUCGGAUCGUAAAACUCUGUUAUUAGGGAAGAACAAAUGUGUAAGUAACUAUGCACGUCUUGACGGUACCUAAUCAGAAAGCCACGGCUAACUACGUG
rnacentral:rRNA from 1 species